UUUUCCCCGAGGUCUGGAGAAAGCUGAAAUCAAAUGGGAGGAACUACGAGAUUACCCCAAGGACGCCUUCGGC
rnacentral:tRNA from 1 species